UGGGGAAUCUUGGACAAUGGGGGCAACCCUGAUCCAGCCAUGCCGCGUGAGUGAUGAAGGCCUUAGGGUCGUAAAGCUCUUUCGCCUGUGAAGAUAAUGACGGUAGCAGGUAAAGAAACCCCGGCUAACUCCGUGCCAGCAGCCGCGGUAAUACGGAGGGGGUUAGCGUUGUUCGGAAUUACUGGGCGUAAAGCGCACGUAGGCGGACCAGAAAGUUGGGGGUGAAAUCCCGGGGGCUCAACCCCGGAACUGCCUCCAAAACUAUUGGUCUAGAGUUCGAGAGAGGUGAGUGGAAUUCCAAGUGUAGAGGUGAAAUUCGUAGAUAUUUGGAGGAACACCAGUGGCGAAGGCGGCUCACUGGCUCGAUACUGACGCUGAGGUGCGAAAGUGUGGGGAGCAAACAGGAUUAGAUACCCUGGUAGUCCACACCGUAAACGAUGAAUGCCAGUCGUCGGGUAGCAUGCUAUUCGGUGACACACCUAACGGAUUAAGCAUUCCGCCUGGGGAGUACGGUCGCAAGAUUAAAACUCAAAGGAAUUG
rnacentral:rRNA from 1 species